AUGCUGGCGGCAGGCCUAACACAUGCAAGUCGAGCGAACAACCUCAACAGGUUGUUAGCGGCGAACGGGUGAGUAACACGUGAGAAUCUGCCUUGUUCAAUGGGAUAGCUUAAGGAAACUUGAGGUAAUACCAUAUAAUUCCUGCAACAGGUAAAGAUUUUGUUCGGAACAAGAUGAGCUUGCGGUAGAUUAGCUAGUUGGUGGGGUAAAGGCCUACCAAGGCAAUGAUCUAUAGCUGAUCUGGGAGGAUGGACAGCCACAUUGGGACUGAGACAAGGCCCAAACUUCUAUGGAGGGCAGCAGUGGGGAAUAUUGGACAAUGGGCGAAAGCCUGAUCCAGCCAUGCCGCAUGAGUGAUGACAAUCUAUUAAAAUGGAUACAAAAUAUGUAUCUUGGAUUGUAAAACUCUAUUUGUUUAAGGAUAAUAAUGAUAGUAAAUAAACAAAAGCUCCGGCCAACUUCGUGCCAGCAGCCGCGGUAAUACGAGGGGAGCGAGUGUUGUUCGGUUUUAUUGGGCGUAAAGGGUAUGUAGGCGGUUUUGUAAGUCAACACUUAAAUCUUGAGACUUAAUCUCAUUACAGGUGUUGAUACUGCAUAACUACGAACUUAAUAAGGAUGAACACAAUUCCAAGUGUAGAGGUGAAAUUCGUUGAUAUUUGGAGGAGUACCAAAGGCGAAGGCAGUUCAUUGGGUUAAGUUGACGCUGAGGUACGAAAGCGUGGGGAGCAAACAGGAUUAGAUACCCUGGUAGUCCACGCCCUAAACGAUGAGUGCUAACAGUCUGGUAUAAAUAUACAUCCCGAAAAUAUGUCUUCGGAUAUAUCAGUAGGUUUAUAUCUUAUAUUUAAUUGUAUAGCUAACGCGUUAAGCACUCCGCCUGGGGACUACGACCGCAAGGUUAAAACUCAAAGGAAUUGACGGAGACCCGCACAAGCGGUGGAGCACGUGGUUUAAUUCGAAUCUACACGAAGAACCUUACCAGCUCUUGACAUUUUUGGCUAAACAUGUUAGAAAUAACAUGCCACUUACAACAGUAAGGAUGCCUUAAACAGGUGCUGCAUGGCUGUUGUCGGCUCGUGUCGUGAGAUGUAUGGUUAAGUCCUAAAACGAGCGUAACCCUUGUCCUUAGUUGCUUAAGAUCGGGGCAAAGCCCAAGAUUAGUUCUCUAAGGAUACUACCAAUGAUAAAUUGGAGGAAGAAAGGAUAACAACAAGUCAUCAUGGCCCUUAUGGGCUGGGCUACACACGUGCUACAAUGGUGGUUACAAAGAGUCGCAACGUUGUGAAGCAGAGCUAAUCUCAAAAGACCAUCUCAGUUCGGAUUGUACUCUGCAACUCGAGUACAUGAAGUAGGAAUCGCUAGUAAUCGUGGAUCAGCAUGCCACGGUGAAUACGUUCUCGGAUCUUGUACACACCGCCCGUCACACCAUGGGAAUUUAUCUCGAUCGAAGCAACCUCAUCUUGGUUGCGAGAUCCAAAUAAACGACCGA
rnacentral:rRNA from 1 species